rnacentral:rRNA from 2 species
GAAGAAUUCAGAGAUGGAUUUGUGCCUUCGGGAACCGUGAGACAGGUGCUGCAUGGCUGUCGUCAGCUCGUGUUGUGAAAUGUUGGGUUAAGUCCCGCAACGAGCGCAACCCUUAUCCUUUGUUGCCAGCGAUUAGGUCGGGAACUCAAAGGAGACUGCCAGUGAUAAACUGGAGGAAGGUGGGGAUGACGUCAAGUCAUCAUGGCCCUUACGACCAGGGCUACACACGUGCUACAAUGGCGCAUACAAAGAGAAGCGACCUCGCGAGAGCAAGCGGACCUCAUAAAGUGCGUCGUAGUCCGGAUUGGAGUCUGCAACUCGACUCCAUGAAGUCGGAAUCGCUAGUAAUCGUGGAUCAGAAUGCCACGGUGAAUACGUUCCCGGGCCUUGUACACACCGCCCGUCACACCAUGGGAGUGGGUUGCAAAAGAAGUAGGUAGCUUAACCUUCGGGAGGGCGCUUACCACUUUGUGAUUCAUGACUGGGGUGAAGUCGUAACAAGGUAACCGUAGGGGAACCUGCGGUUGGAUCACCUCCUUACCUUAAAGAAGC